rnacentral:lncRNA from 1 species
UUUCAAAUGUCAUGGUUACUGGGUCUGUGUGCAGUAUUUACAAGCAGGAAAUUACACAGGGAUUUUUUUUGACCCCUCUAGCUAAAUUGCAAGUGUUUUCAUCUUCUAACAUAUCUGAUAGUGUUUGUUAUGAGUUAAUAGUUCAAGAUUGAAGCUUUAUGUAAUCUACAUGCUAUAUAUUCAAAAUAUCCCCAAAGAUCCAAUGUCUAUAGGCAUUUUCAUGAUUUUUUACAAAACCAGUAUUCUUUGAAUGGAUAAAACAAAAUUUGUUUAACAUUCUCAAUUAAGAUCCAUCUACCAUUGAUGGUGAUUGUGGGACACAUCUUUCAUCCCAGCACUCUGUGGGUAUAAGCAUGGAGCUCUCUGAGUUUUAGUUUUGCCUGGUCUACAAUUGCAAAUUCCAGGACAGCACGGCUACAUGGAGAAACCCUGUUUCAAACAACAACAACAACAACAAAAAACAAAAACCAAACAAAUCCAAAACAACUAAAUGAAAAGAUCUAAUUACCAAACAUAUUGGCAUUUAAAAUGGUCAGGUUCUCUCAGAGAAGAAAAAUAACUAUAAUAAAUAUAAUGUAUUUAUUAUUUGCUUUGAAAUUAGAUUAUGAAUUUAUGAUAAGUGAAGUAUAUUGACUAUCAGAAUAUUACAAACAGACCAGGCAUCUUCAACAUGAAGUGUUCUUAAGUAAAUUAAUGCACUCUCUCAUGCAAUAUUUUAUAUCACACAACCCUUAAAAUUCUCUGACACUUAUAUAUUCAUUUGUAAGAUUUAGAAUAUUACAAUAGCUCCCUCUUAUUAAUAUCAAUUUUUUCAAAGGAUAAAAAGAGAGAGGUGAAGUUGACAGGCCUUGCAUUUGAGUAUAGUCUGAAUUUAGAUAUGGAUGCUUUUCUAGAUAUGGAAAUUAUUAAAUGCACUAAAUCACUAAUGAUUUAAGGAAGGAAAGCCUGAUGUGCAAUUAUCCUACAAUAAUUUUCUUGAGUUUAUUUCUAAGAUAAUUUAAGAUGACUUUCUAAAUGCAUGGGAGAAGCAGGUAGCAGGCUGUGCACAAGUAUUUUCUAAUAACACUCUUAAAAUAGAAGUCUUAGAAUUAUGUUUUUCUAAUUGUUAUGGUUGACAGGUCAUGUAGAAUUCAUGAAAAGGCAAGUGAUAAGUAUCAAUAAUUCACAAUUAUUACAAUAAGAUAAAUGUUAAAUGUAUAGCAUGUAGUAUAUAUUUGACAAUCAUGGUGUUUGGCAUAAUAUUUUGACUCCUUAUCUCUCUCUCUCGUUUUGUAUUGUGUAUGAUGGUUUUAAUAUCUUUGACCAAAAAUCUAAAUGUUCACUUGAAAACAUUUUAGAAUUAUUAUCUCAAAAGCAUGCCCAUUUUAAUGUUUUUGCUUGAUAAGGCCAUUAUUAUAUUUGGAUGGUUUGUUAGUUGGCUUUUUUCCCCCAUUAUCAAGUAACCAAGAAAGACCAUUUAAGUGAGAUUUAAGUGAGAAAGGAUUUUGACUCCUGGUCCCAGCCCCUGGUUAGUUUGCUACAUGGAAUUGACUUUAGAUAAUCCAGAGCAUCGUGAGUUAAUGAGGUGAAAGAUACCUAUGGCUAGUAAAAGCCUGAAAGAAACAAAAUUCCCAAAGAGAGACAUCUGGAGACUAGUCUACUCAGUUGUCAAUCUGUCAAUUAAAGAAUCCAAAACUGUCACAACAUGCUUACCACCCAACCACCUCCUGAAAAUUCUAGCUCUAGAUAUUGUACGGGUCACCAAACCUGUGACCCAAGAGGAUUCAGGAUCUAUUUCCUCGCCAUACCUUUACUAACACAUAAUGUUCUUUUCAUGGUAAAAAGAAUUACUUUUAUAUAAAACUCGAUACUAAUGAUACCUUGUUUUUAAACUAUUAACUUAAAUUUUAUAUAUUAGUUUACUUAUAUUUAUAUGUGUGUGUUCUUAAACCAUAUAGCUUAUUGUUCAUGAUAUUUUCAAUUUCACUAUGUAAUGAACAUUUUAUCUAUUUUCUUUUCAGUUAUCUCACAGAAGCACAUAAUCCAAAUCAGAAUGAUGGAAAAUUAAUGCUAGUUAGGAGUUUGGUCAGCCAUGUCAGUUUCAGUAUUAUUAAAUUAAAAUUUUAAUUUCCUGACUUUAUUAAUCAAAAUUAAGUAAAACUCAUUCUUCUAUCAAAAGUAAACUGUGAUCUUUAAAGUUCACCAUGUUAUAAUUUAGUCUGCA